rnacentral:rRNA from 1 species
AUUGAACGCUGGCGGCAUGCUUUACACAUGCAAGUCGAACGGUAACAGGCCGCAAGGUGCUGACGAGUGGCGAACGGGUGAGUAAUGCAUCGGAACGUGCCCAGUCGUGGGGGAUAACGCAGCGAAAGCUGCGCUAAUACCGCAUACGAUCUAUGGAUGAAAGCGGGGGACCGUAAGGCCUCGCGCGAUUGGAGCGGCCGAUGUCAGAUUAGGUAGUUGGUGGGGUAAAGGCUCACCAAGCCAACGAUCUGUAGCUGGUCUGAGAGGACGACCAGCCACACUGGGACUGUGACACGGCCCAGACUCCUACGGGAGGCAGCAGUGGGGAAUUUUGGACGAUGGGCGCAAGCCUGAUCCAGCAAUGCCGCGUGCAGGAAGAAGGCCUUCGGGUUGUAAACUGCUUUUGUACGGAACGAAACGGUCCUGGUUAAUACCCGGGGCUAAUGACGGUACCGUAAGAAUAAGCACCGGCUAACUACGUGCCAGCAGCCGCCGUAAGAC